AUCUGGGCGGCGGAAUUCAGGAUGGCGGGCGUGUUCUGCGCGUUCGUCGUUUGAUAUUUCCGUCGCCAGGAAGACGUCGCGACCUGUUCGCGGUCGGUCCCUGCUCGGAGGAGUUGCGUUCGAGUUCGUUGUGCGGCGCGUUUCUGCGCGUCACACGGCGAAGGCGCGAAUCUCUGGCCGGCCGACGGACAGUAGGCUAAACGGUGUCCGGUGUCGUCGUCUCGUACGCGCGCGCAUCGGUACCGGUCGGCGACGAAUUCUUCGGGCCUCUUUCCGACCCGUCUUGAAACACGGACCAAGGAGUCUAACAUGCGCGCGAGUCGCGGGGUGUCGAGCGUACCACGCGUACGCUCGUUACGUAACGAAACCCGUACAUAUCGAAGGCGUAAUGAAAGUAAAUGGGGAAGAUGGUGUUCCGAGUACACGUUCCGCGGUCAUCGGUACCGCGGCCGGACACCCGCAUUCCCGGGGCGUCUCAACGGCCCGUCGCGAAUGCGGACGGUCGUCUUUCGGGGCGGCCGUCGGUUUGCGACGAACCGA
rnacentral:rRNA from 1 species